GUCGUGGCCGAGUGGUUAAGGUGAUGGACUAGAAACCCAUUGGGGUCUCCCCGCGCAGGUUCGAAUCCUGCCGACUACGUUUGAAAUUUUACCCUAAAAUGGGGUCAGGUUAAUAUAAUACGGAAAAUACAGGAGAACUUGUAUCAUCUUUCACCCCUCUGGUUAAUGUAAAGCGGAACGAACAGGAGCACUUAUAUCAUCGUUAGCCCCUCUCUAAUUCUGCCCUGGCGGUGUAUGUGUUUGCUGUCAAAAUGUCGCUGAGCUGCCCGAAGUAAAUAAGCUAGUAACCACAGUAAUCCUCCUUCACUGGCAACGUGCAGUGCUCCAGGGUCUCACCGGGUUUUCUCUCCUCCAAACCCUGCUCA
rnacentral:lncRNA from 10 species